GAGGGGCAGCGGGGUUGUAGCAAUACAACUGCCGGCGACCGGCGCACGGGUGAGUAACACGUAUGUAACCUGCCCUCUGCAGGGGGAUAAGCGGAAGAAAUUCCGUCUAAUACCGCAUAAUACAAUUUGGAGACAUCUCCGGGUUGUCAAAGGAGUGAUCCGGCAGAGGAUGGACAUGCGGCGCAUUAGCUAGUCGGCGGGGUAACGGCCCACCGAGGCUACGAUGCGUAGGGGUUCUGAGAGGAAGGUCCCCCACACUGGUACUGAGACACGGACCAGACUCCUACGGGAGGCAGCAGUGAGGAAUAUUGGUCAAUGGGCGGAAGCCUGAACCAGCCAAGUCGCGUGAGGGAAGACGGUCCUAUGGAUUGUAAACCUCUUUUGCAGGGGAGCAAGGCGCGGUACGUGUACCGCGAAGGAGAGUACCCUGAGAAAAAGCAUCGGCUAACUCCGUGCCAGCAGCCGCGGUAAUACGGAGGAUGCGAGCGUUAUCCGGAUUUAUUGGGUUUAAAGGGUGCGCAGGCGGACUGUUAAGUCAGCGGUAAAAGGCGGGGGCCCAACCCCCGGACUGCUCUGGAAACUGCAGCCUGGAGUGCAGGAGAGGUAAGCGGAAUUCCUAGUGUAGCGGUGAAAU
rnacentral:rRNA from 1 species